UCCACGCCCUAAACGAUGAACACUAGUCGUCGGGAUGCUAGUCAUCUCGGUGAUGCACUUAACAGAUUAAGUGUUCCGUCUGGGGAGUACGGUCGCAAGAUUAAAACUCAAAGGAAUAGACGGGGACCCGCACAAGUGGUGGAGCAUGUGGUUUAAUUCGAAAAUACGCGAAGAACCUUACCUGGGCUUGACAUACGAAGAAUUUUCCAGAGACGGAAGAGUGCCUGCUUGCA
rnacentral:rRNA from 1 species